GCCCAGCUGGCUCAGUCAUUGGAGUGUGAGACUCUUGAUCUUGGGGUCAUGAGUUCAAGCCCCAUGUUGAGUG
rnacentral:tRNA from 1 species